rnacentral:lncRNA from 1 species
GCCAACACAACCUGAUUAGUUUGUAAAACCUCGAAACCAUUUUUGUGAUCGCCCAUAAAACUUGAGCAUAGCCUUUAGGGCCACUACUUUCAGCCACAUUUUUCCACUUGAUGCUCUGUUUACUCUUACCUAUGACAGGUGUAAAAACUUCAGUUGAGUUAGUUGUGUUCAUAGGUGCUUGUUGCAUCACCUCUUUUUCCCGAGGCUGAUGAAUAGCCGAUUUUGCAACUUCUUUAGGCAACCAGGUAGGUAUCAUUUUUGGUUGGGUUUUAGGAGGUUGAGGUGGUUUUGCUUUAGGUAAAGUGGGCUGCUGGGGUUUCUCCUUCAAACACGAGUACCCUACCACUAUACAAUCUUCUCAAUACUCUGGUUUUCAAUAAAACAUGAUGGGUUGUUUGAAAGUUUGACCGUGUGCAUUCAUAACUGUAAUAUCAUUGGGGAUCGAUUUAGUGAUGUCAACCUCAAUUAACAUCCUUGAAUAAGAGAUCCUAGUUUGCUUAGAUGUACAUUCAUCAGCGAACAAAGGUAUCCCGAUAACACUUGUAAUCCGACUAAGCGAAUCACAACUCCGGCAGUUCAAAGGCAAUUUGGGUAGUGUUACCCACAAAUAUAUUUUUGUACGGAAUUCUGAUUUAAAGUCAAGUUGGGGCAUCCAUUGUUUCAAUAUCAGAGGUUACUAUUGAUACUAUAUGGUUCUGUAAAAAGGAUCUCUUUCAUAUCAACUUUCGAUUGAAAUUUCACUAGAUAGUAGCCUUCAUCAUGAUAGUAUAAAUCUGGUGCAACAACAUUGGUCUAAGUUUGUGAUAUAUACUGUUUCAUGUAGUUAUAGCCUGGCAUAUCCCCAAUAACAUAUAAAACCAACGAAUACCUCCAUUUUGUUUCCUCCUGUUCUUGUUCCAGCUUUUUUAUCUUCACAACCGGGCUUUAAUUAACCAGUUCAGAGGGGAUGUAAUUUAACGUCAUACAAUUUGUUGCAACUCGAUUACCAGCAAAUAGAUUCACCCAUAGAUUUACCUUAGUGUAAACCUCGGGAGGGGAUGUUAUCCUAAUAUUUCCCCCUUAUUUUCUAGAUCUACACUUCGUACACUCGCUAGAUCAGUAUUCAAUGGAACAGUGUUUGACAGAACAAUAGGUGUUGAGCUAACACUCUCUAUUGAAGAUGAGUGGACGUCGCCUUGAGCAAUUUUUGGACUCCUAUGUAAAUUUUGAUGGUUGGAAUUCGAGGUACCUGCUUGGUCAUUGCUUCGCGAACCAGAAUUCACCUUCCUCAACAAACCGCUAUUCAUUGAUGCUUCGCUAGCCUGCAAACAAAGGUCCUUCAGCUGAGAUCCAGCAUGCUUGGAGCUUCCUGAGUUCCCAAAGUGAGUAAUUAGUUCCUUUCGUGGUGUCCCUCUUCGUCUCUGACCCACCAUAUUCACCCCGGCAUAUGAUAGCAACUCCUACGCCGAGAGGAGAGAAAAGAGAGGGUUUCCAUUUUUAUCUUUGAAUAAUUAGCAGUUUAUACAGAAAUUUAUUUGUUCAACCAAGCCUUUAGUAUGUAUUUGAAUAACUCACCGAAUUAGUGAGUUUUAUUAAAUAGAUUCUUGAAACAAGCUUGACAAUAAUUAUAUGAGUUAUUCAACUAUAAAAUAAGCAACUUAUUUAAGUUAUUCAAUUUCUAUUUUUAUUAUAUAAAACUCACUAAUUAUGUGAAUUAUUUAAAUAUAAAAUAUGUAACUUACUUCAUAAUUAGUGAGUUUUAUAAAAUAAAAAUAGAUUAAAAUAAGAAAAAUAGAUAUGUGAGUUUUAUAAAAUAAAAAAUACAUAACUCACAUAAUAUGUGAGUUUUGUAAAAUAAAAAUAGUAAAAUUAUAAAAAUAAAUAUAUAACUCACAAUUAUGUGAGUUUUAUAAAAAUAAGGACAACUUUUUUUUUUGAGUUUUACGCUAGACUUUAUACUACAUAUAAUUCACAUAAUAUGUGAGUUUUAUAGAAAUAAGAAGGAUAACAUUUUUUUUUUUUUGUGAAUUUUAUACUUUUCAUAAGAAAAAUAAAAUAUAACUCACAUAAUAUAUGAAUUAUAUAGAAAUAAAAAGAAUAACUCACAAAAAAAAAUGAAGUUCGUUAAAUUAAUUUUAAUAUCUUUUUGAAUAUAUAAUAUAUUUUAAUAUUUUAAAUAAGUAGGUGACCUACUUUGAUCGCCCCUCCCUUAAGGGGGUAUAUACAAUCUUUAAAACAAUGUGGAUAAUGUUCAAUUGGGACACCAACUUUAGUGCCAUAGACUGGACAUGAAUGAAAAGAAAGGGAAAUGACAUGUGAGUUGAGGCGGAAUGUGUAAUCUGGUGGUUGGAUUAUUCUGAUUUAGUCUUAGGCCAAAAUUAUCGGUGGCCUCCUAAAUUUGGCACGAACUUUUACUUACACACCUUAAGUGAACGUUGUUCACUUUUAACAUCUAAAGUAGCCACAAAGUGUGUCACUUUGACACUUUUGCUGAAUCAACAAAGAGAGUGUGUUGCACUCGCUGCCAACGUGGACAAAACGAUCAAUUGAUUUGUGCCAACUCAUUUAAAUUGCCACAUCAUUAUUUAUAUUCACAAUUAAUUUUUUUAAAAAAACAAAAGGCCAAAAUACAUGAUUAUUAAUAAUUAUCCAACUUAUUAAUAUAUAUACACACACAAUUAAAUUAAAGGAACCAAUUAAUUACUGACACGUGACAUUGUAAAAAAUAAUUAUAAAAUUAUCAACCCAACCCCCAUCCCACCCCACCCCACCACCCCCAAACUCCAAAGUCAUCUGCUCCACCACCACCCAUCCCCCCAGCACCCCACCCAAAGUCCAUCGACGAAAACCAUUUUUGCCAUUUUCUCAAUAUAUGGAUCAUUUUUGUCACUUUAUCAAAAACACCAUGAUAGUCUCAUUAAAUCCCAACAUAUGGAUUAUUUUUGCCAUUUUUUCAAAAAUCAGACAAGAAAAUGAAGGGAUACAGAUGUGUUAAGAAAAGAAAAAAAAUGAUGGAAAAUUAAUGGUUGAAAGAGAGAAGAAGAAAAAGUAGAAAAAGAAGAAGAAAAAAUCUACAAUCUGCACCAACUUGCAUUCUUUCAAAUUAUUAAAAAUUAAUUGUAUUAAGAAAACAAAAUGGUGGAAAACUAAUGAAUGGAGGUGGGGGAGGGUGGGAGGAGACGAUUUUGGGGUAGGGGUGACAACAACGAUUUGGGGGUGGGGUGGACAGACGAUUUGGGGAUGGGGUUAUUAAUUUUUUUAAUUUAAAUUAAUUAUAUAAAAAUUAUUUUUAUAAAAAUGCCGAAUGUCCUUUUAUAAUUGGUUCAUUUAUAUAUUAUAUACCCUAAAACGCGUCGGGCAGCGAGUGCAACACACUCUCUUUGCUGAUUCAGCAAAAUAUGUCAAAGUGACACACUUUGUGGCUACUUGAGGUGUUAAAAGUGAACAACGUUCACUUGAGAACAACAUUCACUUGAGAUGCAUAAAUGAAAAUUCGUGCCAAAUUUAGGAGGCUACCGAUGGAUUUGGCCUUAGUCUUAUGUAUAUUUAGCACUCAUAGAUAGUUAUGCAUGUCUAGUAAUGCAUAGAUUUAGAUGAGUUAUGCAUGCCUGGUAAUGCAUAGAUUCGUCAUCAUGAAAUUUAUGUGUUAUAUUAUUGAGGUAUUUGUUAUGUAAGAUUUACUUAUUCAUCUAUUAGUUAUUUAUGUAUAUUUAUUUCACCUUCUAUCUUACAUAAAUAAUAUUACAGAUUUUCUCAUAAUUUAUGUAUAUAUAUUAGUUAUGUAUAUUUUUAUAUUACAUAUCAAACACCGUAUUAAUUUUAUAUAUGAAUAACUUACUUUCUAAUCAAUUCCCUAACAUGAUAUUGUUUAUGCAAGAUUUAACAGUAUCAUAGAUCACCUUCAAAUUAGCUACCAAAUGCCUCCUUAAGGAUCGAUUGGUUCCCAAACUAAAAUAUAUUGAGAUUAUAAUUCUUAUCCUAAUUUAUCACCUCACCUAGGAGGUGGAAUAAAAUAAUAAUGCCAAAUUAAACGGGAUAUUCAGGAUUAAGAAUUUCAUGAAAAAUUAAUACAUUCAAUCAUACAAAGCUCAUCUAUGCCAUAUGUUAAAAAUUGAGUUCAUUUAUAUUAGUUAUUCAACAAAAGUCUAUUUGUACCAUUAUUUCUUAACAAAAAACAUGAAUAAUUUUGCAAUACUGUCAUCAAAAUUAAACCACCCCAUUCUUUUAUCCCAUUUGAAAUUAAUUCUAUAAAAAUCCCCAUUCUAUUAACGAGUGGCGACGAAAAUAAGCCACCUACUUAAAAUAAGUAUUAAAAUAUGCCAUGUAUUUAAAGUAAUACCAAAAUAGGCUUAACUCACAAAAAAAUGAGUUAUACCUUUUUCUGUUAAUGAAAAGUUGAAUGACGGAGUUUAGUUUUAUAAAAAGUGUAAAACUUACUUUUUUUUUUUUUGAGUUAUCCUUCUUAUUUAUAUAUAACUCACAAAAAAGUGAGUUAUAUUUAUGAAAAGUAUAAGAUUCACAAAAACAGUCAGUUAUAUAUUAAAUGUAAAAGCUUUACCUUUCAUGGAUCCUUUACUUUUAUCCAGCCGAUUUACCUCUAAAACCAUACAAAAUCCACAUCGAUUCCCCACAGAUCUCCCCUCCCCAACACAAAUUUUGUUGAUUCCUAAUCGUUGGUCCUACAUUAUUAUUGUUCCGUGCUUGAAAAUUGAAAAAUUAUUACGAUACAAUUGAGGUAUUUUUUGGAUUCUUCAUUUUUUUAAAAAAAAUUAUUGAUUUAUGGCUAUAAUACUCAAAUUUCCUAUUACGAGCUCAGUUGGCCAAUUCUUCGUAAUUGUUUGGCUUGAUUCCUUGAUUCUUAGUGAUCUACCUUAUAAGAAAUCUCAAUUAUUAGUGUGUACACCUAAUAUGCGUAGUAGUCCCUACCUUAUAAUGUACCAAUUGUCUACAAAAUUUAUUUUAUAUUUUGACUUGCAUUAAGAAUUUUAUUUUGUUGGCAAUCCUACUCAUGUCACAUGUAUGAUAAAUUAAAAUUAUGAAACUUAAUCGUUAACUUAUACUUGAUGUACGAAUGUCGAUCUCAUUAGGUUAGGUAAUUGUAUAUCAUAUAUUUAUUUCUGAUACAUAUAAAAAAAAUUCUUAAUGCAAAUCAAAAUAUAAAAUAAAUUUUGUAGAUAAUUUUUGGUACGUUAUAAGGUAGGGGCAACUACGCAUUUUAGGCGUACACACUAAUAAUUAGGAUUUCUUGUAAGGUAGAUCACUAGGAAUCAAAGAAUCAAGCCACACAGUUACAAAGAAUUGGCCAAAUGAGCUCAUAACAUGAAAUUUGAGUAUUAUAAGCCAUAAAUCAACAAUUUUUUAAAAAAUAAAAAUAAAAAAAUACCUCAAUUGAACCGUAAUAAUUUUUCAAUUUUUCUAGCACGGAACAACAAUAAUGUAGGACCAACGAUUAGGAAUCAAUAAAAUUUGUGUUGUGGGAGAAGGGAGAGGGAGGAGACCUGUGGGAAAUCGAUGUGGAUUUUGUAGGAUUUUGGAGGUGAAUCGGAUGGAUAAAGGUAAAGGAUCCAUGAAAGGGAAAAUUUUAUAUUCAAUGUAUAACUCACUAUUUUUGUGAGUCUUACACUUUUCAUAAAUAUAACUCACCUUUUUUCUGAGUUAUAUAUAAAUAAGAAGGAUAACUCACAAAAAAGUGAGUUUUAUACUUUUUAUAAAACUUAACCCUGUCAUUCAAUUUUUCGUUAAUAGAGAAAGGUAUAAUUCACUUUUUUGAGAGUUAAGUUUAUUUUGAUACUAUUUUAAAUAUGUAAUAUGUUUUGGUACUUAUUUUAAGUAGAUGACCUAUUUUAAUCACCCGUAUUUGCAAGAUAUCACCUUUUCAAACGGUAAUAUGAUUUUUUUACGCCAUUCCUCAUCAUUGGGAAUAGAAAAUAAAGUAAACAACUUUCAUUUGUGUUUCUCAUCCUUUUUUAAUGUAGUAUUUAGUCAUCAAUUAUAUAGUAUAUAUGAUCAAUUUGCAGAAAAUAGCAAAUAUCACACGAGUGGAUCGAAAGGCCUAAGUUGUUGAUAAACUUUGGUGACCAAAUAGGAUUCAAAUUUACUACAUGAUACAUGUCCUCUAACUCGAUUUUCAUUAAAUUUUAUGUUCUCCUAUGUUAGUUGAUACAAUACAAAGAUCACAACAAUGGAAUUUGGGAAAGAAGAUUCUAAAAGUGACAAGAGAAGAGGGAAAGNNNNNNNNNNNNNNNNNNNNNNNNNNNNNNNNNNNNNNNNNNNNNNNNNNNNNNNNNNNNNNNNNNNNNNNNNNNNNNNNNNNNNNNNNNNNNNNNNNNNNNNNNNNNNNNNNNNNNNNNNNNNNNNNNNNNNNNNNNNNNNNNNNNNNNNNNNNNNNGAAAGAGUAGAAUGAAAUGUGUAAGACAUGAAUUUAUUCCUCAAUGUAACAGAAUGUCAGUGAAUAUAUAUGGAAGUGAGAGUCAGUUAGUGCUAACCAUCAUUGCCACGUGAACUAACUACUCCUCACAGCUUGUUAACUAACUUGGAAUAAUUAAGUUAUUCUCUACUAGAACAUGUAUACAGAUAGUUGACAGUCAACUAACAACUAUAUGAUCCCUUUCUCAACACUCCCCCUCAAGUUAGGUGGUGCAAAGAUAUCUAACACUCCUAGAUUAAAGUUUAAGUAGUCAUGCUGAACUUUUCCCAAGCCUUUAGUUAGAAGGUUAGCCAACUGUUCAGAAGAAUGUACAUAUUUAUUUUUAACCAGUCCUUGAGUAACUUUUUACCUGAUAAAGUGACAAUCUAUAUCUAUGUGUUUUGUUCUCUUAUGAAACAUUGUAUUUGCAACUAUUUGAGUUGUUGAUUUACUGUCACUAUAGAGUGUAACCGGUAAACUCACUUCAUAAUCAACCUCCUUCAAUAGUCCUUCUAUCCAUAUAAUUUCUGCAAUGUUGAAAGCCAUACUUUUAUAUUCAGCUUUUGCAGAGCUUCUGGACACUGUACUUUGCUUAUUUUACUUCCAUGAUAUUUAUGAAUCUCCCAACUUAACACAAAAGCCUGUUAUUGACUUUCUAGAAUUUGGGCAAGUAACCCAAUCAACAUCACAAUAGGUAGUUAAAACCUUUUUCUUGUUGCUGGAUAAUAGCACUCCCUGACCAGGAUGAUUCUUAACAUACCUUACUAUUCUUAAGGCGGCUUCCAUAUAUGACCUUUUUGGUUGAGCCAAAAACCAGUUUAGUGUUUGAACCCUAUAAGCUAUAUUAGGUUUUGGUUAUUGUUCGGUAUAAUAGUUUGUCAAUUAAUCUCUGAUAUUCCCCUAUAUCUGGCAAUAACUCAUCAUCUGUAGUCCCUGCCACUUUGACAUGAGUGUCAAACUCAUGAGUUAUUAAUUUUCUAUUCACUUCAAGAGGUGUACCAAUAGGUUUAGCUACACCCAUUCCAAGUUUAGAGAUCAGUUUUAAAUUGUACUUUCUUUGAUGCAUUAAUAUCCCUUUGUUUGAUUUGACAAAUUCAAUGCCCAAGAAAUAUCUCAAGUCUCCCAAGUCUUUCAUCUUGAAAGUCCUUUGUAAUUCAGGCUUUGUCCCCUUAAUCAGCUCUAGAUUGCUGUCUGUGAUCAGUAGAUCAUCAACAUAUACUAAUAUCAUCACAAUAUCAUUGUUUACCUUCUUUAUGGAGAGUGAGUAGUCAUAGUGGCUUUGUUUGAAACCCAUAGUCAUUAGUGCAUCGGUAGGUUUAGAAUUCCAUUACCUUGGGGCUUGCUUAAGUCCAUUUAAGGACUUGAGUAAUCUGUAGACAUGUCUCUUUUCCCCCUAAAUCUGGAAGCCCUGAGGCAACUUCAUGUAGAUCUCAUCAAACAAGUCUCCUUGCAAGAAUACAUUGUACACAUCCAUUUGAUAGAAGUGUCAAUACUGAGAAAUAGUUAUAGACAAGAUAGUCCUGAAAGUGACUAUUUUUACUACUGGGGGAAAAUAUUUCCUGGUAGUUAAUCCCCUCUUGUUGACUAAAGCCUUUGGCUACAAGCCUGACUUUGAAUCUCUCAAUGUCACUAUUGGCAUGGUAUUUUUCUUUGUAGAUCCAUUUGCAACCAAUAGGAUGCUUGUCAUCAGGAAGAAGAACUAUCUUCCAUAUGUUGUUAGCCUCUAAAGCAACAAUUUCUUGCUACAUAGUUGUAACCCACCUAGGGUAUGUACAAGCUUUAGCAAAUGUAGAUGGUUUAACAAUAGAAGUUCCAACAAGAAAAUCCUAAUAAUAUCUGGACAAAUGAUCAUAAUAGAGCACAAUAUCUAAAGGAUAAGUGACUGUCUUGUGAUCAGCAAAAGAAAUAAAGUCCUUCAUCCACAAGAGUACAUUUCUAUCCCUAGUGGAUCUUCUAUUAGUAGUAGGCAUUAUAGUAGAAAAGGAAAGAACCACAGGGGUAGGUAUUGUAGAAGAUGGUACAACAAGGAUCAAAGUACUAGGAGGAUCAAGUGAGGUAGUAUCAUCAAGUAAAAGAGUAGAUGUAGGUGUAUGGUCAGGUAAAUCAUUAAGUGCAGCAGGUGAAGUAGUAUUAUUAGGUAAAGUAGAGGUUACAAGAGUAUGAUGAAACACAUCAUGGGAGAAAAUAUCAGUUUCAGAGAAUAUAAGAGGAUUAUGGGAGUGUAACUAUUGAAAAGGGAAAACAUUCACUGUAAUACCCCAGAUUUUCUUUAAGUCGAGUUUCAUCUUUAAGAAGAGUAAGGGCUGACUUCUCAAGUGAGAAAUAUUUUAAACCAUGUAUAAUUUCCUUAAUAUCGACUAUUUUUCAUGUAGAGAAUUCAAUUAGAUUUCCAAUGAUACCAAUUUCAUCCAAAUUCGGUAUCGGAGUGAGAAGUUAUGGCUAUUUUACUGAGAGUUGUCGGAACCGCCCAGGUGCGACGGACAGGUUGAUGAACCAUCGAGUUUGCUACGGACCGUCGCCCCGACCAUCGCAACCAAGGCAGUGACUCCCUCUUCUGGCAUAAAUGCGAUGGCCAAGAUGACGGACCGUCAAGCUAGCGACGAAUACCGUUGCAACUAAGGCAGUGUGGCCUUUUUCUGACCAACAUACGAUGGACGAUUCGAUGGACCAUCAGACUAGCGACGGACCAUCACUCCGAUUGUCGUAAAUCCCGUUCAUUAUUUUUAAGUCAUUUUAAAAGGACUUUUUGGCCUUUUUCCCCUUUUAACACUUAGAUAAAUUCAAAACGAAGCAUAUGACUUCAUUAUCUCCCAAAACAUCCAAAGGCUAGGGUUUUUUCCUCAAGAACAAACUCAAAACCCUUCUCCAAGAAAUUCAAGAACUCAUCAUGGAUUCUACAAAUUGAGUUGAUAUUUGAGUUCCCCAAAUCCAAGGCUUCAAGAACCCUCUCUUAAAGAGUAAGAAGAAGAGUUUCAAGCAAGCUUGUUCAUGUAGUUUCACAAUCUAAGGUAUGUGGGGUUUGAACAAGGACACUCCUUUCGUUCUUGUGCCCAAAAGUUGUUUUAAUUACAAAGAUAUAUGGUUUUACAUGUUUUCUUAUGAAAUUGAAGUAUGGGUUUAACCCUAUGUUAUUAUUUCUUGAGAUUAUGAUAUUUCCCAUUUUUUAGAAAUUAAAUUAUAUAAGUAUGUUGAUGUUAUAAUGCAAAUUGCUGAACAUUCCAGAUUUUUAUAUGAUUUGUGUAUCCUUAUGACAUCUAGUAUGUAUUUUGAUGUGUCUUAAAUUGAGAUUUAAUUAUGGGUCAUUAAACCCUACUUGAGAUUUCAGUUUUUAUGAACUUUUGUGCUAUAAGCACCCAUGAUUUGAGUAUUUUGAGAUCAUUGAGAAAGUUUUGACCUUAAUGGUCAUAGUAUCUUUGAAAUCCACUUUACCAAAUAAUACUAUAGAUUUUAUAGUUGGGUUCUUAUGAACCAUGAGAUUAUUUUAAAGUGGAUUUCCAUGAGAUGAGCGUAGCUAACUAAAGGGAGUAGUAUUUAGCACCGAGUUGGGUAAGUUACUAUGGUUUCAUGCUCAAGAACUACGUGCCACCGUAGAAUUGAGAUUUAUGGGUCCGAGGCCGAGAUAAGUGAUCACUGAGUUGAGGUUAUACUCCCUGGAAAGAGUAUGAUGCCUUUCUCCAACGUGAGGUUUAUUCCUUAAGAGGACAAGACGUUGGACUCCAUGUAGCUCGCAUGGUUUAUGUCAGUUGAGAGAACCUUCCUAAGAUAUUUUCCCUUGAUGUAGAAUAUUUUCCUUAAAGCUUUGAGAUAAGUGAUUUUCCCUAAUAGUAAGAUUUCAAAAUAGUUUCUUGAAGUACAAUUUUCCCAAGAAGAAAGUAGUUUUCUCUACUAGUAAGAGUUAUAGAAUUCUGAGUUCCAAGUGUCUUGAGUUUAAAAGAGUUCUAAGUUCUUGACCAUUAAAGAAGUUUUACUCACCAUGAGAUAUAUGCAUGAGUUGGAAAGUAUUGUUUAAAGCUUUCUUUAGUCUUCGAGUAAUGAGAAUAAGAGAAGAGUUCAGAUUUUAAAGCUAAAGUAUAAUGACUCACGAGAUUUGUGUUACAUGCUUCAUUCUACAUGAUUUAUGAGCUUAUUAUAUUAGACUUAUUCAAGUAAUGUGAGUCAUUCAUAUUUGAAUGUAUGAUUUGAUUAAAGACCAUGGAUAUUAUUUUAUGUACAUGCGUACGCCCCUAUAUACUCAGUACAUUCUCAAGUUCUAAUCCACAUAUAUGUUUAUGUGCUACAUUGUCUUAUAAUGUAGGUUCAGGUGCUUAGUCCCAGUCUCAUCAGUGAUUUUCGAGUACCUUUGUCUACAUCUCUACAGCGGUGAGUCCUCAUGGUUUGAGGACCUAUCUUCAGACAUUCCAGUAUUAUUAGUAGACAUAUUAUUGCUUUCAGUUCAGUUUGAGUUAGUUGGGGACCUACCCCAAUGGCUCUCUAGUAGACUUGAGUAGUAGAGGCUUUGUUAGACUAAUUAUCAGAUUGUUAGUAUGUUGAGAUUUCCAGUUUUGUAGUCAUUUGGACUGAGUAUUUUCUUUGUAUUUUCUAUCAUUUGAUAUAAGUACCAGUGUUUUGUUUAUUUCAUCUCGAAUUGAGUUAUUAUA